rnacentral:rRNA from 1 species
AUUGAACGCUGGCGGCAUGCUUUACACAUGCAAGUCGAACGGCAGCGCGGGCUUCGGCCUGGCGGCGAGUGGCGAACGGGUGAGUAAUACAUCGGAACGUGCCCAGUAGUGGGGGAUAGCUCGGCGAAAGCCGGAUUAAUACCGCAUACGACCUGAGGGUGAAAGCGGGGGAUCUUCGGACCUCGCGCUAGUGGAGCGGCCGAUGGCAGAUUAGCUAGUUGGUGGGGUAAAGGCCUACCAAGGCGACGAUCUGUAGCUGGUCUGAGAGGACGACCAGCCACACUGGGACUGAGACACGGCCCAGACUCCUACGGGAGGCAGCAGUGGGGAAUUUUGGACAAUGGGCGAAAGCCUGAUCCAGCAAUGCCGCGUGUGUGAUGAAGGCCUUCGGGUUGUAAAGCACUUUUGGCGGGAACGAAAAGGACUGUGCCAAUACCACGGUUCGAUGACGGUACCCGCAGAAUAAGCACCGGCUAACUACGUG